rnacentral:rRNA from 1 species
GAUGAACGCUGGCGGCGUGCCUAAUACAUGCAAGUCGAGCGAACGGACGAGAAGCUUGCUUCUCUGAUGUUAGCGGCGGACGGGUGAGUAACACGUGGAUAACCUACCUAUAAGACUGGGAUAACUUCGGGAAACCGGAGCUAAUACCGGAUAAUAUUUUGAACCGCAUGGUUCAAAAGUGAAAGACGGUCUUGCUGUCACUUAUAGAUGGAUCCGCGCUGCAUUAGCUAGUUGGUAAGGUAACGGCUUACCAAGGCAACGAUGCAUAGCCGACCUGAGAGGGUGAUCGGCACCACGGGAACUAGACCCGGGCCCAAACUCCACGGGGGGGCAGCAGCGGGAAAUCUUCCGAAAGGGGCAAAAGCCUGACGGGGCAACGCCGCGUGAGUGAUGAAGGUCUUCGGAUCGUAAAACUCUUUUUUUAGGGAAAAAAAUAUGUGUAAGUAACUGUGCACAUUUUGACGGUACCAAAUAAAAAAGCCCCGGCUAACUACGU